GAGACUUGAAGACACACAAUUUGGUUAGCAUUUUGUUUCUCUUUGUUCAUGUGAUAUAAUUCUUCAUAGCAUUAACAGUAACUCUGAAAAUCUUUCCUGUGAAAUUGCACCAGAGCCAUUCACUUAGGUUUUGAAAAUUUGUGCCUUAUUGCUUCUGUUUUUGUUGUUUGAGAGUGGAUGAAUUGUUUGAUUGUCUUUUUUCUUAAAGAUGACACUGCAUAAUCUGUUCAGUGGUUUUCUGAAACAAGAUCAAAAGCAAGCUUUUUCAUUUGUUGUAGUGAAUGUUGUAAUUAGAAAGUUCUCCUCCUUUUAUACUUCUUGCUAGUCAUAAUGAAGAUUUCACCCCUAGCUCCUUGGCAUUUGAGAGCUCAAACCAUAUGUGAAUUGAGUCAUUGUGCACCAUAAUGGUAAGCAAUUGAGACAUUAUGUCAUGAGAAAUCCCUUCCCAAAGAUAUUUUUUUUUAUUUUUUUUAAGGAUCUUAACUCCUUUUCUCAUAUAGAAAUUAUCUUAUGAACAAAAUUCCCUCCCCACCCUUGUGCUCAUUCCUGACAACAUGGACAUUAACGUCAUUGCUUUUCCUCUUUUUGCAUGUAGAGAUUCUUGGCAUAUUUUUGUUGAGUGUUGAAAAAGCAUGGUACUUUGUUGAGAAAUCUUUAUAUCUUGCUCAACAAUCUCUUGCAUUAAUUUCUUUGCAUGCAUUAUAUAAGAAAUGCAUUAACCUGAAAAACCUUGAUAAUAAUGAAGGAUUUAAAUUAAAACUUAUCUUGAAUUUCAAUAAUCAAUUUUAUACAGUAGGAAGAUUGCUUAGCAAAAUGAGUUGCAACAACAUAUAAUCUUCAUGAGCGUUCAACAGUUGUGCCCCUUUAGUGAAGAAUGAAGUAGCGGAAGCAUGAAAAUUGUUAGAUUAGAACAU
rnacentral:misc_RNA from 1 species